ACGUCAGGGUGGGUGUGUGCUCCAACAGAGACCGUCUUCUCCUCAACGGCGACUUGGUGACCAGGACAUCCACAGGGGACAGAAGAAGCUGACUACCUGGUGGGGAAAACAAUAAGUAUCUCAAAUUACUUCUCAGGAAGAUGGACUGCCUGCCCAAGUCCCCUGUCUUUUCAGAGGACACCUCAGGCAGGGAAGCCCGGAGCUGCCAAUUCCCACUUCCAGCCCCUGCCUCUGAGCCAGGUGGACAGAGCCAGGCCAAAGGAGGAGGAAGAGGAGGGAGAGCUACUUCGGAUUCAGCAGACCGGGACACUCGCCAAGAACAUGAGUAGCAGAGAGAAUGCCUGGCACACACACAAAAAAAUAAGUACCCGAAAAUGGAUUCCUGAUAUCAGAAACAAAAUUUGAUUUUUUUGUUUUCCAAACGUUCCUUUAAAACAGUUGCCUGCCACCAUUAUUAUUUCAUUACAAAAUAUUUCCCUUGAACUUUCAAGGGAGAAUCUUUUAAGGCUGCCCUCUCAGAACUUUUUCCCCAAUCUGUUUUCAGUGGAAAAAACUUAGUAUUUCAGUCAGGGAGAGAUAGGUGGUGCAUUAGGUGGCAUGAGUUAAUCAUGCCAAAUGAGGGAGAUAAAGGGAGGUUACCCAGGAAAAACCUGAGUAGGAAAUUUAAAAGGCAGGUGAAAAGGAAUUUGAUUAUAAAUUUCCUCAAGAGAUUUACUUUAAAUUCUCAACACCAAAUCUUUUCCUAAACAUCAUUGUGAAAGGUACGGUUUUCUCCACUGACUACUGGCACUGGGUAAUGUUUUGA